CAACAUGGGGAUUGGGCUUCAGGGAGCUCUCACUCUGAAGCCACACCCAGGUCCUGGAUAUCUGCUAUAAGAUUUUUAGAAUUAAUCAGAGUGAAGCAAAGUUGUUCAUUGAUGCACUUGAAAGAGUCAAGUGCAGGUGUGAGGGAGGAAGUUACCCACGUGACCCAACAGUAGCCAGGUAUUUGAUUUGUGUGUUUUCAAGCUAUUUAAUAUGUAAGUAACCUUUCCCUUGGUUAUCGGGUUGCUUGAGGUCUUUGCAGUUUAUUUCCUUUUUCUGACAACCUAAGCCUGUCAGUGCUUAUUACUAAGAAAGACUUCUCUACUGUUUUGUGUGUAUGCACAUGCACUGGCUGCUCUGGUAAAGGGAUGGGAACGUUGAUGUUGCAGAUGUCUAGCCAGUUAGGUUGAAAAUUAAGCAUUAGCCAGCACAGGACUCUGGAGAAGAGGGAGACCCCUUUAAAAGCUAUCUCAUAAUACCUGUUUUCUAACUAGCUAUACUGUAACCAGUGGGUUCCACAGAGGUAUGCCAUUGGUCAGGUAUCAUUAGACUAGAACUCCAUGUUCUGUCAAAUGGGAAUGAUGACACCCCGGACAGGGAUUUGCAACUGCCUUAGUCCCACAGACCAAGUGCCCAGCAUUCUAUAAAGAUCAUCUGUGAACGGUGAGUAUUAUUACUGCCCCUGAUGUCCAAAGGGGCUCGAUCAGAAAGCUCAAAAAGAGCCUUGAACUUCCCAGUCUCUCUCACUGCAUCCAGACAGGGAGAACUAGAGGCCAUGGGGUAUUCCUCAGGAUUUAAAAGUCUGGGGGAAGCUCUGCUACUAAAAACAUGCUGUCUCUCCUUAAUGACUUGGAAUCCGUGACUAACUGGUCCCUUCAGAUGAGCUGGCUUGUAAAGGACUGACGUGGAAUGAGCUUUUGCCCUAGAAGACAAAACAAACCCCACACAAAGGGCUGGGGCUGUUGGGCAGGAGGAGUGAGGCACCCCUCCCAGCAAGCUAGAAGUCUCUGUCUGGUCCUCCUGGAGCGGAGCAGGCCUCCCCUGAGGACUGGAUACUGGGUGGUCAGCUUUGUGGUUGGAGUCUCAGGGCUUCCAAGUUCUGGGUGCCGAGUGCUGCUCGGAAUUCGAUCUCUUAAUUCUGUCCUUAACGACAGGGUUUCAAAGCAGUACGGGGGAUAAAGUGUCCCAGAGAGACUCAGGACACGUUUGAACACAAGCCCAGAACACAGAUGGAAUCUGAAUCGUAUUGGCACAGGCCCCGGUCAUGGGUUGCUGCCAGAACAUUGAGUGCCUGCUAAAGUGAGAAGAUGGUGUUGGAUCUCCUGGAACUGGGGUUACAGAGAGCUAAAGUAUGGGUGCUGGGAAUCCAACCCAGGUCCCCCGGAAGAGCAGUUGAGCCUUUUCAUCAGCUCCCUAUGAGUGGUACGUUUGUUUUCUAUUAGCUGAGGUAGAAGUUUAUCACUAGAUCCUAUCUUGGGGAUAAGAAUCCUAUUUUUAGUCCUCUUACUCAUGAGGUGAGAAGGCUUGGCAGAGAGCCCUUGGCCUAUUCCUAUAUUCUGUAGCUGAACCACUUGGAGAACACAGGACUAACACCACUGCUCUGGCCAGACAUUUCUUGCAAAGGCACACUGAAGUACCCGCUUACUGUCUUACCCUAUGAAUCCUCUACCUCUAUUUUAUUUUAUUUUAUUUUAUUUUAUUUUAUUUUUUUAAAGUUAUGGUUAAUUUUCACAUUGGCCAAAACCAUAGGACAAUGUUUAAAAGGAGAAACAUUCUUUUUCUAAACACUUGUAAAUAAUUUAAAUAUUUAUAACAGUGUAGCUGAAUUAGCCCUUUUAUUGAAUGACAGUCACAGUGUUAAUAUUAAAGAGCUAAUUUUAAGAGGAAAUUCAGAAAUGUAAACGAUAAUCCAUUAUUGUUCCCCAAAUGGAAAGAUCAUUUAACUCUGUCUGAAUCUCCGUUCUCCCUGUCUCUGAAGUGAAUGUACAGGGAAUCUAGUGAGUUCAGCACUCAUCUUGCUUACGAGUGUUUAAUGAGGAACAAAGAAGUUAGAACACUGGAAGUUUGAUAAAGUUCAUCACAGAGCAAUGGCGGUUGAUUUACUUGUUUCAGAUCUUGGCAAAUCAUCAUUUAAGUCUCUCUUUGUUUCUCCGGCUACAUACAGCGGGACCUCACUUGGAUGCGAUCAGACUGAAGCAGAAGAUGUUUGUAAAAGCACCCGGAGAAGCUGGAGAAAUGCAUUAAAUUAAAGUAGCAUUAUGUAUCCAUUCCACAGGAAACGACUCAGAGAUAGCAAAAGGCUAUACCCCAUUGACCAUUCCAGGGAAGAGCGGGAGCUGCAAACAAGCUGUCCAAAUACAGAAUCUCUUCUUAGGAGACACCCCCAUGCUCAGCAUAACCUCACUGACUUCUCCUUUUCUCCAGUUACUAAUCUCCCCGCGGUGGAGGCAGUCCCAGAUCAGUUCUUUGAGCUAGGCUUAGAAGAAUAGGACCGUUUAUAUCUCUGCUUAGACCACUGGAAAAUCCUUUUAUCUUGCUUCACUGCAAAGGACAGCAGAGCAAAACUUGGAGACUCCAAAGCUCUACAGAGCCAUCUUGUGGUCUCACAAGAAAAUAACUCCAUUUAGUCUCUGGUGUCUUGGUUUGGAUAUGAUUCAAACGUUGCUUGUUGGUUUCGUGGUUGUUUAUUUUUUUCCUUCCAUUCCUAAAUACGUUUCCUCCCUGGAAACCACUAAACAAGGAUUGAUACGUUGUUCAAAUUCUCUUCCUUUAACUUCCUUUAUCUUCGGAUCUCAGCUUCCGUACCUUGGUUUGUGCUGGACCAUGUUGGUGUAUCUGAGUUGAGGUGAAUUAAUGUGAGUGGGAAUGAUAUUUCCACUGCAGGUCUGGAUAACUUAUAGCCCUGCUGUUUUCCAUCCACCAGGCUCUUUCUUCUGCGAUUUGGUACAGUACUCACGGAAAUCUUAGAAUUCAUAUCUUAAAGUUGGAGCCUCAGGUAGGAGAUAUUUGUUUCUCAUGGUUUGUGUUUAAAAUGUCUCCCACACAGACUCGUGUUUUGAGCGAAUGCUCACCUUGCUGGUGGCACUAUUUGGAGAAGUCAUGGAGCUUUUAAGAGGUAUGGAAUAGCUGAAGGACGUAAGCCACUAUGGAUUGGGUUUGGAUGGUUAAAAUAAAUGUUGUUUGGACCCCCA